rnacentral:rRNA from 1 species
UACGUAGGUGGCGAGCGUUGUCCGGAUUUACUGGGCGUAAAGCGCGCGCAGGCGGCAGUCUAAGUCCUCUGUGAAAUCACCCGGCUCAACUGGGUGGCUGCGGAGGAGACUGGGCAGCUUGAGGGGCCUAGAGGCCGGUGGAACUCCCGGUGUAGUGGUGAAAUGCGUAGAGAUCGGGAAGAACACCAGUGGCGAAGGCGGCCGGCUGGGGGCGCCUGACGGCUGAGGCGCGAGGGCGUGGGGAGCGAACGGGG